rnacentral:rRNA from 1 species
AGUGAACGCUGGCGGUAGGCCUAACACAUGCAAGUCGAACGGCAGCACAGUAAGAGCUUGCUCUUACGGGUGGCGAGUGGCGGACGGGUGAGGAAUACAUCGGAAUCUACUUUUUCGUGGGGGAUAACGUAGGGAAACUUACGCUAAUACCGCAUACGACCUACGGGUGAAAGCAGGGGAUCUUCGGACCUUGCGCGAUUGAAUGAGCCGAUGUCGGAUUAGCUAGUUGGCGGGGUAAAGGCCCACCAAGGCGACGAUCCGUAGCUGGUCUGAGAGGAUGAUAAGCCACACUGGAACUGAGACACGGUCCAGACGCCUACGGGAGGCAGCAGUGGGGAAUAUUGGACAAUGGGCGCAAGCCUGAUCCAGCCAUACCGCGUGGGUGAAGAAGGCCUUCGGGUUGUAAAGCCCUUUUGUUGGGAAAGAAAAGCAGCAGGUUAAUACCCCGCUGUUCUGACGGUACCCAAAGAAUAAGCACCGGCUAACUUCGUG